rnacentral:lncRNA from 7 species
AUUCCGCACAAGCACUGAAGCAGAGCUUUAACUGCCUUCACUUUGAGUUACUGCAGUUGGAGCUGCAGUGUUGGUCUUCUGAAAAUUCCUAGGAUACUGCUAAAGUGCAGAGUCAGCUCCUUGCUCAGCUCACAUACAACACAAGCUCCAGUAAUGUACUUCGGACCAACGACAAACAGCUCCCUUCAGAAAAGCUGAAGGAUGAGGCUCACGGGAAUCUACAUUUGACCCUUAAGAUUUUUUCCUGUCUGAAGGGCAUCUGGUUGUAGCAUGUCAAGAUGGAAUUUUCCCCACAGUUCACUUAACUGUCUACAUUAAUAUAAACAUCUGCAUAUGAUUGUUAUUAUAAUUGUAAAAUGCUAUGUGCGGAGACCCCAGUCAAGAGUCUACUGUGCCAGGGAUGAACCCGCAUCCACAGAGUGCAAAACCAGGCUCUGUAUCCAGUAUCUCUGUUCCUAAUGCACACAUGUCCAGAUGUCCAGGUAUAACCAGGUAUAAAGUUUUACUGGAUUCAAGAUGGCUACAUUUACACAGUAGGCUCCUUCAGCGACACGAGACGUAUACAGCUUGCUCCAAGUGCUGAAAAGCAUUUACCACAUGCAACAAACAUUGGAGCAUUUUAAUACUCAGACAUAUGUUUUGUCUCUUCUAUUCAUUUUAACCAUCUUCCCGACUCCAAAAAAUGCAUGGAUGUUAUCCACGCUUGCUUGAGAAAAGGCAAAACAGCAAACAAGCUAGCGUUGUCUUAAAGUAAACAGUAAUUGCUGUUUCUUUGCUCCCAAAGAGGAGGCAUAACACUCAUUAAAGUUAAAAG